rnacentral:rRNA from 1 species
CAGUCGCCACGGUAAUGCGUAUGUCGCAAGCGUUAUCCGGAAUUAUUGGGCAUAAAGGGCAUCUAGGCGGCCCUGUAAGUCUAGGGUGAAAACCUGCGGCUCAACCGCAGGCCUGCCCCGGAAACUACAGGGCUAGAGUAUCGGAGAGGUGGACGGAACUGCACGAGUAGAGGUGAAAUUCGUAGAUAUGUGCAGGAAUGCCGAUGAUGAAGAUAGUUCACUGGACGGUAACUGACGCUGAAGUGCGAAAGCUAGGGGAGCAAACAGGAUUAGAUACCCCUGUAGUCCCUGUCUCUUAUAA